AUUAUUGGGCGUAAAGAGCUCGUAGGCGGUUUGUCGCGUCUGCUGUGAAAGCCCGGGGCUCAACCCCGGGUCUGCAGUGGGUACGGGCAGACUAGAGUGCAGUAGGGGAGAAUGGAAUUCCUGGUGUAGCGGUGAAAUGCGCAGAUAUCAGGAGGAACACCGAUGGCGAAGGCAGGUCUCUGGGCUGUUACUGACGCUGAGGAGCGAAAGCAUGGGGAGCGAACAGGAUUAGAUACCCUGGUAGUCCAUGCCGUAAACGUUGGGCACUAGGUGUGGGGGACAUUCCACGUUUUCCGCGCCGUAGCUAACGCAUUAAGUGCCCCGCCUGGGGAGUACGGCCGCAAGGCUAAAACUCAAAGGAAUUGACGGGGGCCCGCACAAGCGGCGGAGCAUGCGGAUUAAUUCGAUGCAACGCGAAGAACCUUACCAAGGCUUGACAUUCACCGGACCGCCCCAGAGAUGGGGUUUCCCUUCGGGGCUGGUGGACAGGUGGUGCAUGGUUGUCGUCAGCUCGUGUCGUGAGAUGUUGGGUUAAGUCCCGCAACGAGCGCAACCCUCGUUCUAUGUUGCCAGCACGUGAUGGUGGGGACUCAUAGGAGACUGCCGGGGUCAACUCGGAGGAAGGUGGGGAUGACGUCAAAUCAUCAUGCCCCUUAUGUCUUGGGCUUCACGCAUGCUACAAUGGCCGGUACAAAGGGUUGCGAUACUGUGAGGUGGAGCUAAUCCCAAAAAGCCGGUCUCAGUUCGGAUUGAGGUCUGCAACUCGACCUCAUGAAGUCUGAGUCGCUAGUAAUCGCAGAUCAGCAACGCUGCGGUGAAUACGUUCCCGGGCCUUGUACACACCGCCCGUCAAGUCACGAAAGUUGGUAACACCCGAAGCCGGUGGCCUAACCCCUUGUG
rnacentral:rRNA from 1 species